rnacentral:rRNA from 1 species
UCCCAGACUCCUACGGGAGGCAGCAGUGAGGAAUAUUGGUCAAUGGGCGCGAGCCUGAACCAGCCAAGUCGCGUGAGGGAUGACGGCCCUACGGGUUGUAAACCUCUUUUGUCGGGGAGCAAAUUCCGUUACGUGUAACGGAGUCGAGAGUACCCGAAGAAAAAGCAUCGGCUAACUCCAUGCCAGCAGCCGCGGUAAUACGGAGGAUGCGAGCGUUAUCCGGAUUUAUUGGGUUUAAAGGGUGCGUAGGCGGGCUGUUAAGUCGGGGGUCAAAUGUCGGGGCUCAACCCCGGCCUGCCGUUGAAACUGGCGGCCUCGAGUGGGCGAGAAGUAUGCGGAAUGCGUGGUGUAGCGGUGAAAUGCAUAGAUAUCACGCAGAACUCCGAUUGCGAAGGCAGCAUACCGGCGCCCUACUGACGCUGAGGCACGAAAGCGUGGGUAUCGAACAGGAUUAGAUACCCCCGUAAUA